GACGAACGCUGGCGGCGUGCUUAACACAUGCAAGUCGAACGGAAAGGCCCUGCUUUUGUGGGGUGCUCGAGUGGCGAACGGGUGAGUAACACGUGAGUAACCUGCCCUUGACUUUGGGAUAACUUCAGGAAACUGGGGCUAAUACCGGAUAGGAGCUCCUGCUGCAUGGUGGGGGUUGGAAAGUUUCGGCGGUUGGGGAUGGACUCGCGGCUUAUCAGCUUGUUGGUGGGGUAGUGGCUUACCAAGGCUUUGACGGGUAGCCGGCCUGAGAGGGUGACCGGCCACAUUGGGACUGAGAUACGGCCCAGACUCCUACGGGAGGCAGCAGUGGGGAAUAUUGCACAAUGGGCGGAAGCCUGAUGCAGCAACGCCGCGUGCGGGAUGACGGCCUUCGGGUUGUAAACCGCUUUCGCCUGUGACGAAGCGUGAGUGACGGUAAUGGGUAAAGAAGCACCGGCUAACUACGUGCCAGCAGCCGCGGUGAUACGUAGGGUGCGAGCGUUGUCCGGAUUUAUUGGGCGUAAAGGGCUCGUAGGUGGUUGAUCGCGUCGGAAGUGUAAUCUUGGGGCUUAACCCUGAGCGUGCUUUCGAUACGGGUUGACUUGAGGAAGGUAGGGGAGAAUGGAAUUCCUGGUGGAGCGGUGGAAUGCGCAGAUAUCAGGAGGAACACCAGUGGCGAAGGCGGUUCUCUGGGCCUUUCCUGACGCUGAGGAGCGAAAGCGUGGGGAGCGAACAGGCUUAGAUACCUUGGUAGUCCACGCUGUAAACGGUGGGUACUAGGUGUGGGGUCCAUUCCACGGGUUCCGUGCCGUAGCUAACGCUUUAAGUACCCCGCCUGGGGAGUACGGCCGCAAGGCUAAAACUCAAAGGAAUUGACGGGGCCCCGCACAAGCGGCGGAGCAUGCGGAUUAAUUCGAUGCAACGCGUAGAACCUUACCUGGGUUUGACAUGGAUCGGGAGUGCUCAGAGAUGGGUGUGCCUCUUUUGGCGUCGGUUCACAGGUGGUGCAUGGCUGUAAUCAGCUCGUGUCGUGAGAUGUUGGGUUAAGUCCCGCAACGAGCGCAACCCUUGUUCACUGUUGCCAGCACGUUAUGGUGGGGACUCAGUGGAGACCGCCGGGGUCAACUCGGAGGAAGGUGGGGAUGACGUCAAGUCAUCAUGCCCCUUAUGUCCAGGGCUUCACGCAUGCUACAAUGGCUGGUACAGAGAGUGGCGAGCCUGUGAGGGUGAGCGAAUCUCGGAAAGCCGGUCUCAGUUCGGAUUGGGGUCUGCAACUCGACCUCAUGAAGUCGGAGUCGCUAGUAAUCGCAGAUCAGCAACGCUGCGGUGAAUACGUUCCCGGGGCU
rnacentral:rRNA from 1 species